rnacentral:rRNA from 1 species
UACGGAGGAUGCAAGCGUUAUCCGGAUUCAUUGGGUUUAAAGGGUGCGUAGGCGGAAUAAUAAGUCAGUGGUGAAAGCCUGUGGCUCAACCAUAGAAUUGCCGUUGAUACUGUUAUUCUUGAGUAUAGUUGAAGUGGGCGGAAUGUGUAAUGUAGCGGUGAAAUGCUUAGAUAUUACACAGAACACCAAUUGCGAAGGCAGCUCACUAAGCUGUUACUGACGCUGAGGCACGAAAGCGUGGGGAGCAAAC